rnacentral:rRNA from 1 species
UACGGGGGAGGCAAGCGUUGUUCGGAAUUACUGGGCGUAAAGGGCUCGUAGGUGGCCAACUAAGUCAGACGUGAAAUCCCUCGGCUUAACCGGGGAACUGCGUCUGAUACUGGAUGGCUUGAGUUUGGGAGAGGGACGCGGAAUUCCAGGUGUAGCGGUGAAAUGCGUAGAUAUCUGGAGGAACACCGGUGGCGAAGGCGGCAUCCUGGACCGACACUGACGCUGAGGAGCGAAAGCCAGGGGAGCAAACGGG